rfam:Parcubacteria (Thrbacteria) bacterium GW2011_GWF2_41_16 TT48_C0001, whole genome shotgun sequence.
ACGGGCUGUUGGACGGCCGCCCUUUCUUUUUCUUUCAAGAAAAAAAUGGGGAGGAAAGUCCGAACACUCUGGAUGUCGUAAGAUAUACAGAAAAAAAGAGUCGCUAACAGCGACCGGGUAUAAUGGAACUGUGAGAAGCGUUGAGAGAUCUCUGCUGCUCAUCAGGUCUGGAAGCCCAGGGAAAGUAUUUCCGUUUGGAAAUGUCUGGAAUCCGGUGAAAGCCGGUGAAUGGACGCCACAGAGACAAUACUCGCUGCCUGUCCCUUUUACGAGGAAUGGCAGUUAAAGGUGAAAAGUCGUGCGAGGUUUAUGACUUUUUCAAGACAGGAAAAAGAAUAAGCUACGUGCGUCGCGCCAUGGUGACAUGGUGUUGCGGCAAACCCUCUUUAGUGCAAGAGCAAAUUUGGUAGCUCGCUAGAGGCUUUCAGUAAUGGAAGUCCAAGAGAGAUGGCCGUCUCCUUCGUAUAUUCUGUACGGAGCAGACAAAAUUCGGCUUACAGACAGUCCUGUGUC